UACGUCAAGCAAUCUCGGGCUUGGUUAGUACUUGGAUGGGUGGACCGCUUGGGAAUACCAAGUGUGAUAAGCA
rnacentral:rRNA from 1 species